GCUGGCAUAGCUCAGUUGGUAGAGCAGCUGAUUUGUAAUCAGCAGGUCGCAGGUUCGACCCCUGUUGCCAGCU
rnacentral:tRNA from 1 species